rnacentral:rRNA from 1 species
CAGUAGCCCGGUAAUACGUAGGUGGCAAGCGUUGUCCGGAAUUAUUGGGCGUAAAGGGCUCGCAGGCGGUUUCUUAAGUCUGAUGUGAAAGCCCCCGGCUCAACCGGGGAGGGUCAUUGGAAACUGGGAAACUUGAGUGCAGAAGAGGAGAGUGGAAUUCCACGUGUAGCGGUGAAAUGCGUAGAGAUGUGGAGGAACACCAGUGGCGAAGGCGACUCUCUGGUCUGUAACUGACGCUGAGGAGCGAAAGCGUGGGGAGCGAACAGGAUUAGAUACCCGCGUAGUCCCUGUCUCUUAUACC